ACAGCAGGCCUAAAUGUGCCUUUGCUCCCAUCAAUGAGUGGCAUCACUGCACCCUUUCUCAAACCCACCAAUGUGCCUCACUCCUGACCUGGAGGAACCCACCACUAGUGGUGAAGGAAUAGUUCAAUUUCCAGACCCAUUUAAUCCCUGGCCACC
ensembl:misc_RNA